CGCGUAGGCGGGCUCGCAAGUCCGGGGUGAGAGCCCCCCAGCUCAACUGGGGAAGCGCCUUGGAUACUGCGGGCCUCGAGGGAGGUAGGGGCGUGCGGAACUUCCGGUGGAGCGGUGAAAUGCGUAGAUAUCGGAAGGAACACCGGUGGCGAAAGCGGCGCGCUGGACCUCUUCUGACGCUGAGGCGCGAAAGCCAGGGGAGCAAACG
rnacentral:rRNA from 1 species